AAUUUGAAUCUCUGAAUGCCCAGUCUCUUAUUUGUUUUUUCAUGUUUUAAAUUCUUGAAUAGGAAGAUAUGAAG
rnacentral:sRNA from 1 species